GGUCACCUUGGUCAGCGUCCAUUCCAGCCCCAAUGACCAGAUGCUGUGGGCCCUGGACAGCAGGUGGCACGUGCACGUCCGAGCUGGGAUCACCGAGGAGAUGCCAGUGGGCACCAACUGGGAGCAUGUGCCAGGGUUACAGGCCUGCCAGCUAGCCCUGAGCGCCAGGACUGUGUGGGCCCGCUGCCCCAACGGGGACCUUGCCCGACGGUACGGCGUCACCGACAAGAACCCGGCCGGAGACUACUGGAAGAAGAUCCCCGGAAACGUCACGUGCUUCACAGUGACCUCGUCGGAUGAGCUGUGGGCAGUGGGCCCCCCCGGCUACCUCCUCCAGCGGCUGACAAGGACUUUCAGCCCUUCCCACAGUGCCCAGAGCAGCCACGCCGCCGGCCCGCACCCCGAGGACCUGGAGGACGAGUGGGAGGUCAUCUGAAGGCGCUGCUGGGACGGAGGAGGCCGGGCGCGUGUGGCGGACACAGUCGGUCUCUGACUCUCUCCCCCUCGGACUCGCCUCGCCAGCUUCUGUCCGGACACAUCCAGCCAGGUCGGCCGCCCCACACUUGCUUUCCUCCGCGUUUGCCUCCGUCUCGUUCCAGAGCCUCAGCCAGGCUGUAGAGCAGGGCCUCUGACCCCCGCGGGGCCGCGCCCAAGGGGCGGUGGCUGCUGCCAGUUGCAUGCACUACGGCUGCCACCGGGGGCUGCAGUCACCUUCUCCUCACUCACCGCUCCAGGUCCCACCGAGGGGACCCCACAGGGCGCCUCCCAUGGGCAGCGCACAGCAGAGCCAGGUUGGGGCUGCCCCCGGGAACCAUGUUAGUAGCCACGGAGCUGAAGGUCAGCGCUGCCACCCACCGGACGUGUGCCGUGAUGGCUCAUCUCCAUCGCAGGGUCCCGCCACCCCCUCUCUGGGGUGCAGGUCCCAGCACAUGUUUGCACUGGACCUGACGAUGGGGAACCAUGGCUGUGUCGAGGUGGGGCACCGGGACACAAGUGACGCACGCACGCUGCACACACCCUCCCUGCCCGCUCCCAGGGUGGGCCGUGCCCGGUCCUGGAGAACACAGCUCCGCCGAAACAAUAAAGGCCAGUGGAUGAACCAGAACACGGACGUGUGCGCGUGUGUCCGAGGCCGGGACGGCGCAGGGAGCUGGGGUUGGACCUGGGGACCUUGGUCACGUGGGUAGCUUAGGGAGGCCCUUAGAGCUAAGGGACACUCAGCUCACGCUGCUGGUGGACGUCAUAAAAACCAGAGGGAGUUCCCGCCAUGGUGCAGGGGGCUCAGACUCCAACUGCAGGGGCUCGGGUCACUCUGGAGGUGCGGGUUAGAUCCCUGGCCUGGCGCAGGGGGUUAAAGAGCCAGUGUAGCCGCAGCUACAGCUUAGGUGGCAGCCGCGGCCUGGCUUCAGUCUCUGGCCUGGGAACUUCCAUGUGCCAAGGGUGUGACCAUU
rnacentral:lncRNA from 1 species